rfam:Triticum urartu cultivar G1812 contig1042417, whole genome shotgun sequence.
UUUGUACUCCCUCCGUUCCAAAAUACUUGACCCAUAUUUAUCUAGACAUGGAUGUAUCUAGACACCAAACAAGUAUAGAUCCAUCCGUAUUUAGACAAAUUCAAGUCAACUAAUUUGGAACGGAGGGAGUACUAC